UACGUAGGGGGCAAGCGUUGUCCGGAUUUAUUGGGCGUAAAGAGCUCGUAGGCGGUUUGGUAAGUCGGGUGUGAAAUCUCCACGCUCAACGUGGAGGGGCCACUCGAUACUGCCAUGACUCGAGUCCGGUAGAGGAGUGUGGAAUUCCCGGUGUAGCGGUGAAAUGCGCAGAUAUCGAGAGGAACACCUGCGGCGAAGGCGGGUUGCUGGGCUGACACUGACGCUGAUGCGCGAAAGCCAGGGGAGCGAACGGG
rnacentral:rRNA from 1 species